AGCAGAUCCCACUCUCCCGGGCGCUGCUACUCACACAGGCUUCUAGCCGCCACGGGGCGUCCUCUGUCUGCGGCAGCGGUGGCGGCGCGAGCGGAGGCUGCAGUCUAGCCCGGUCUGGCUGCUCUGCGCCCUGGACAGAGUCCGGCAGAAGCGGGAUCGAGAGGAGAAGCCGAGGCGAGGAGGAGCCGCGCCGCGCCCGGCGCUCGCUUGCCUCGAAUCCCCGCACCGCGGCCCCAGUGUCUGCUCGGGCUCCGCGCCUACCACGCACCAACCGCCUCCCCUGCACCUUGGACAGCGCAUCCCGCCUCUCGCCUUCCAGGGACCGCACCCGGGACCCUGCCCUGCCCGCGCAGCCCUCGGGUUGUUCCCUUCUUUCCACACUGUCCUCCUCCUGUCUUGCAUAGCAUCUCCCCGCCUUGGCGUUCUCCACUCUGGCGCGGGCCAGAAACUUUCCUCUCUGCCCGAUCUGCGCGAGGUACUAUUGUUGUUAUUUGUGUCUUUCCCUCUCUGCUGGAACUGGACACAAGGACAGGUCUUCCUCUGCGGGCCAUUGCCUGCCUUGCCCAGUCCAAGACCGCACUGGGCAGCGGAACUUGGACACCCGACCGGCGCCUCGGCAGCUGGACGCCCGCGGGUUCCCCGCCUUUCUGGACACGUG
ensembl:lncRNA